rnacentral:rRNA from 1 species
UACGAAGGGGGCUAGCGUUGUUCGGAUUUACUGGGCGUAAAGCGCACGUAGGCGGAUCUUUAAGUCAGAGGUGAAAUCCCAAGGCUCAACCUUGGAACUGCCUUUGAUACUGGGGAUCUUGAGUCCGGGAGAGGUGAGUGGAACUGCGAGUGUAGAGGUGAAAUUCGUAGAUAUUCGCAAGAACACCAGUGGCGAAGGCGGCUCACUGGACCGGUAUUGACGCUGAGGUGCGAAAGCGUGGGAGCAA